rnacentral:rRNA from 1 species
UACGAAGGGGGCUAGCGUUGUUCGGAAUUACUGGGCGUAAAGCGCACGUAGGCGGAUACUUAAGUCAGGGGUGAAAUCCCGGGGCUCAACCCCGGAACUGCCUUUGAUACUGGGUAUCUCGAGUCCGGAAGAGGUGAGUGGAAUUCCGAGUGUAGAGGUGAAAUUCGUAGAUAUUCGGAGGAACACCGGUGGCGAAGGCGGAUCUCUGGGCCGAUACUGACGCUGAGGAGCGAAAGCGUGGGGAGCGAACAGG